CUAACUGGAGGACCGAACCGACUAAUGUUGAAAAAUUAGCGGAUGACUUGUGGCUGGGGGUGAAAGGCCAAUCAAACCGGGAGAUAGCUGGUUCUCCCCGAAAGCUAUUUAGGUAGCGCCUCGUGAACUCAUCUUCGGGGGUAGAGCACUGUUUCGGCUAGGGGGUCAUCCCGACUUACCAACCCGAUGCAAACUACGAAUACCGAAGAAUGUUAUCACGGGAGACACACGGCGGGUGCUAACGUCCGUCGUGAAGAGGGAAACAACCCAGACCGCCAGCUAAGGUCCCAAAGUCAUGGUUAAGUGGGAAACGAUGUGGGAAGGCACAGACAGCCAGGAUGUUGGCUUAGAAGCAGCCAUCAUUUAAAGAAAGCGUAAUAGCUCACUGGUCGAGUCGGCCUGCGCGGAAGAUGUAACGGGGCUAAACCAUGCACCGAAGCUGCGGCAGCGACACUAUGUGUUGUUGGGUAGGGGAGCGUUCUGUAAGCCUGCGAAGGUGACCUGUGAGGCAUGCUGGAGGUAUCAGAAGUGCGAAUGCUGACAUAAGUAACGAUAAAGCGGGUGAAAAGCCCGCUCGCCGGAAGACCAAGGGUUCCUGUCCAACGUUAAUCGGGGCAGGGUGAGUCGACCCCUAAGGCGAGGCCGAAAGGCGUAGUCGAUGGGAAACAGGUUAAUAUUCCUGUACUUGGUGUUACUGCGAAGGGGGGACGGAGAAGGCUAUGUUAGCCGGGCGACGGUUGUCCCGGUUUAAGCAUGUAGGCUGGUUGUCCAGGCAAAUCCGGAUAAUCAAGGCUGAGGUGUGAUGACGAGGCACUACGGUGCUGAAGUAACAAAUGCCCUGCUUCCAGGAAAAGCCUCUAAGCAUCAGGUAACAUUAAAUCGUACCCCAAACCGACACAGGUGGUCAGGUAGAGAAUACCAAGGCGCUUGAGAGAACUCGGGUGAAGGAACUAGGCAAAAUGGUGCCGUAACUUCGGGAGAAGGCACGCUGGUGUGUAGGUGA
rnacentral:rRNA from 1 species